rnacentral:lncRNA from 1 species
GAAAGUCACUAAACUCUCUCAGCCUCGGUUUCUUUGUCUGUAAAAUGAGACCAAUAAAAUCUAAUUUGUGGGGUUAUUGUAAAUAACACAAUGAGAUGAGGUGUGUGAAAGUGUGGACUGCUUAGCGUGUGCUCAAUAAAGAUAGUGUUAGCCUCUGAGUGGGGUUUUUGGGUGGGUAGGACUGGAAAUGUCAGGGGAAUGUUAAUCGACAGGGUCAGUAUAAGCUUUCUAGGCCAGGGUAAAUUCUUGGCCGGCCUGUGGCUUUCUUCUACAUGAACACCCUCAGGAGUACUAACCUGGGGGCACAUCCUGAUUCUAGUCUGAGGAUUCCUUUUUGAGACUCUGAAAAGUAAAUGGUGGCAGUGGAUUGGGGAAGAAGCCAGAACCUGAAGUAACAUCAAACCAACAAUUUCCAGCAAACCGGAAAAACCUAACACGAGGAAAAAGACAACAGACACCAACCCCAAGAAGAUGCAGAUGUUGGAAUUCUCAGAGAGAGGCUUUAAAGCAGCCAUUAUAACCAGGCUCCGAGAAGUAACAACAAACACACUUGAAGUGAAUAGAAAGAGAAUCUCAGCAGAGAAAUACUAAAAAGGACCAAAUGGAAACUUUAGAACUGAAAAAUACAAUAACCAAAAUGAAAAAUUCACUGGAUGGGCACAAUACCAGAAUGGGCCACAGGACAUGAAGCUCCACAGGUAGCCCCUAGGGUUCCUUAGGCUUGGAAGGGUAAGGUCGGGGCACUAAGGCCAGCACCAAACCAAGGGGCUUCGGUCCAGGAGCCCUUGCUGCUGCUGCCACUGAGGCCUACGUAUGUGUAAAUCUGCCCAGCCCUUUCUAGCCCAGCCACACUAGCUCCCCACUCAUGCCUGGCUGUGGUCGCCUUCCAGCUGCCAUGAUGCGUUUGCUUAACACCCCCCGUCUGUAAGCACCCAGCCCCCUCCCAUGUGUAAACCCCCUGCAGAAAGGGAAUGGUGGUUUCUCUCUCUCCAUCUUCAUAAUGCUCCGCAUACAGCAGGAGGCACACGAGGAGGUCUGGUAAACUGAGGACUCGCCUCCAACUCGGGCUGUGGGGGAGAGGCAAAUUUGACAGGUCACCCGAUCUUAGAGCUGGCAGCCCUGACACAAGACUUUCUCACAAUUGCUCACCCUCGUUUCAAGAUGAAGAAAUUGAUGUUCCGGAGAGAUUAAAAGACAGGAAUGAGGCUGGACGUGAGUAGCAGAGCGUGGUCUCAAACCAGGGCUUCUGCCUAUAACCUGGGGCUUUAGCCGGGGAAGACGUGAGAGACGAGGGCGAGGAGCGCAGACGGAAGCUGUAACGAGAGUUGAAGCAUCAGCCUCUCCUCCCUGGGAAAGAACGCAGAAUAUCAGAGCUGGCGAGGUGGGAAGGACCUUCUUCCCGCCCCUCCUUUAUGACCUGGGAAACUCAGGCCCAGAGAAGGACAGGGACUUAGCAAAGGUCACACAACCCGCGGCAGCACUACCUGCUUUCCUGGACCUUCUGUAUUUAAGUAGAAUUAAGUACAAUAAGGUUUUUAGACGCUUCAUUAAGCAUUUUAUUUUUACCAAAAUGUGUACAGUUUAAGAAAAAAGGUACUU